CUUGCUUUCCCGCUGACGACCGGCGAAACGGGUGCGUAACACGUAUGCAACUUACCCUCUACAGGGGGAUAGCCCAGAGAAAUCUGGAUUAAUACCCCAUAACAUCAUUGAAUCGCAUGGUUUGAUGAUUAAAGCUUUGGCGGUAGAGGAUGGGCAUGCGCCCCCAUUAGCUUGUUGGUGAGGUAACGGCUCACCAAGGCUACGAUGGGUAGCGGGUCUGAGAGGAUGAUCCGCCACACUGGUACUGAGACACGGACCAGACUCC
rnacentral:rRNA from 1 species